rnacentral:rRNA from 1 species
AUGUAGCGUUUGGUGGGAGUUUUUAACAUACACGCGCGGUCAUUAGUCACGGCCGCCAGUCCAAGUUCAUCUUGAACGGGGCCGCUUACCCGCAGAGGGUGCCAGGCCCGUGGUGACGGUGGCCGGCCGCGACGGUCUCCCUACCGAGAGUCGGGUUGCUUGAGAGUGCAGCCCCAAGCGGGUGGUAAACUCCAUCUAAGGCUAAAUACGACCGCGAGACCGAUAGCGAACAAGUACCGUGAGGGAAAGUUGAAAAGAACUUUGAAGAGAGAGUUAAAGAGUACGUGAAACCGUUCAGGGGUAAACCCGUGGAACUCGAACGAGCGAACGGGGAGAUCAUCGCCCUUCCGACGGCGGCCCCCGCCACCGUUGCACACCGGCGUCCGGGACGUGCGGCACUCGUGCCGUCGCCUCGGCGCCGGGUGGCGGUGUGCGAAAGCGCGCUAACGCGCGCCGGCGGCUCCCGGAGGGCGUGCACUUCUCCCUCAGUAUACAACACCGCGACCCGUCGCGCUGCGGUCGAACGCGCCGUGCGGUUGUCCCGCUCCCCAACGGGGGGYGGAGCCGCGGCGUUCGCCGGCCGCAGCUCGGCCGCCAUCAAGCAGCGGCCUCAGCGACGGUAGAGAACGAGGUUCGCGUCCGCCUACAGGGCGUCCGUACCGCUCCGGCGGCGCUGUCGGCGCGGCCCCCGGCGUCAUUAGCGUCGAUGGGUGUCGCGUCGCACCGGCGUCCGUCGUCAGGGGCGGUCUCUCGGACUGGACGCGUGCCGGUCUGCGGUGGUUCAGUUUCGGGCACUCACGGGACCCGUCUUGAAACACGGACCAAGGAGUCUAGCAUGUGCGCGAGUCAUUGGGACUUCAUACUGAACAACACACGAAACCCAGAGGCGAAGCGAAAGCGAAAGGCGGCACCUCGCCGUGCCGCGUCUCGAGGGAAGAUGCGCGCGCGUCUACGCACGCGCCGCCGCACUCCCGAGNNSUNNNNNNNNNNNNNNNNNNNNNNNNNNNNNNNNNNNNNNNNNNNNNNNNNNNNNNNNNNNNNNNNNNNNNNNNNNNNNNNNNNNNNNNNNNNNNNNNNNNNGAUGGAGGACCGAAGCGAUUCUGACGUGCAAAUCGAUCGUCGGAACUGGGUAUAGGGGCGAAAGACUAAUCGAACUAUCUAAUAGCUGGUUCCAUCCGAAGUUUCCCUCAGGAUAGCUGGCGCUCGGGAAACGUGCGCGGCGUUCACUCGCCCGGCGCAUUUUAUCAGUCUCAUCCGGUAAAGCGAAUGAUUAGAGGCAUUGGGGCCGAAAUGGCCUCAACCUAUUCUCAAACUUUAAAUGGGUGAGAUCUCCGUCUUGCUCGAAUGUGAAGUCGGAGCUCGGAUGUGAGUGCCAAGUGGGCCAAUUUUGGUAAGCAGAACUGGCGCUGUGGGAUGAACCAAACGUCGAGUUAAGGCGCCCAACGGACGCUCAUCGGAGACCAUAAAAGGCGUUGGUCGCUCAGGACAGCAGGACGGUGGCCAUGGAAGUCGGAAUCCGCUAAGGAGUGUGUAACAACUCACCUGCCGAAGCGACCAGCCCUGAAAAUGGAUGGCGCUGUAGCGUCCGGCCUAUACUCGACCGUCGCAGGCAGAGGGGUCGGCUUCGGCCGUCUUGAGGCCGCGACGAGUAGGAUGGUCGCGGCGGUGAGCGCAGAAGGGUCUGGGCGUGAGCCCGCCUGGAGCCGCCGUCGGCGCAGAUCUUGGUGGUAGUAGCAAAUACUCAAGCGAGGUCCUUGAGGGCUGAUGUGGAGAAGGGUUUCGCGUUAACAGCCGUUGCACGCGAGUUAGUCGAUCCUAAGCCCUAGGAGAAAUCCGAUGUAGAUGAUGGUGUAAAGUUUCGAACGAUUCUUUCUUUGAACGCAUAUAUCAAUUACACCCAUCGGGCGAAAGGGAAUCCGGUUGCAGUUCCGGAACCCGGCAGCGGAACCGUCUUAUCAAAUCGUUCCCUCUUAUGAGAGUUCGUCGGGGUGACCCAAAGUGGCCCGAAGACGCCGACGGGAGAUCCGGAGAGAGUUAUCUUUUCUGCCUGAGCGUCACCCGUCAGCCCUGGAAUCCCAUAGCGGGGAGAUAGGGCUCGGUACGCGAAGAGCAUCGCCGAUGCGGCGGUGUCCGGAUCGGCCCCUCGGACCUUGAAAAUUCGGGUGAGGGCAACGCGGAGAUGUCGCGCCGGCUCGUACCCAUAUCCGCAGCAGGUCUCCAAGGUGAAUAGCCUCUAGCCGAUAGAAUAAUGUAGGUAAGGGAAGUCGGCAAGUUGGAUCCGUAACUUCGGGAUAAGGAUUGGCUCUGAGGGCCGUGGCGCGUCGGGCCUGGUCGGGAAGAGGGAACCGGCCGGAGCGACGGAGGCCGGGCAGGCGCUCGCGUGCCGUCCGCAAGGGCGGUGCGCGCUGCGGUCUGUCACCCGGCGCCUCGCGCUGGCUACCCCUCGGAUCUUCCUCGCUGCACGGGCGCGGGCGUGCGUUCGCGCGCCGCCCGCCGCCUUCACGGCCGCCGGACGACGGUCAGCUCAGAACUGGCACGGACAAGGGGAAUCCGACUGUCUAAUUAAAACAAAGCAUUGCGAUGGCCCUCGCGGGUGUUGACGCAAUGUGAUUUCUGCCCAGUGCUCUGAAUGUCAACGUGAAGAGAUUCAAUUAAGCGCGGGUAAACGGCGGGAGUAACUAUGACUCUCUUAAGGUAGCCAAAUGCCUCGUCAUCUAAUUAGUGACGCGCAUGAAUGGAUUAACGAGAUUCCCUCUGUCCCUAUCUACUAUCUAGCGAAACCACUGCCAAGGGAACGGGCUUGGGAAAAUCAGCGGGGAAAGAAGACCCUGUUGAGCUUGACUCUAGUCUGGUAUUGUAAGGUGACAUGAGGGGUGUAGAAUAAGUGGGAGACCGUCGUCUUCGGGCGGCGGCCGAACGUGAAAUACCACUACUUUCAUCGUUUCGUUACUUACUCAGUUGGGCGGAGGGCGUGCGCCGGCCGUCACGGUCGCGACGCACGGGUUUUUCGCACCAAACGUGUACGGGGCGGCGAGCCGUCCGCGUAACCGAGCGCCGUUCGGGCCGCGUUCGCCGUCGGCGUCCCCUCGGGGGCGUCGGCGCGUGCGCGCGCCCUGCGGUCGCGAGGCCGCGGCGUCGCCGCGUUCACCCCGCGUGAUCCGUUCUGAGGACACUGCCAGGCGGGGAGUUUGACUGGGGCGGUACAUCUGUCAAAUGAUAACGCAGGUGUCCUAAGACCAGCUCAGCGAGGACGGAAAUCUCGCGUCGAGCAAAAGGGCAAAAGC